GGGCUCGCUUCGGCAGCACAUAUACUAAAAUUGGAACGACAGAGAGAUGAUUAGCAUGGCCCCUGCGCAAAGUAUAUUUCAGCAUAUAUAUAUAUAUAU
rnacentral:snRNA from 1 species